rnacentral:lncRNA from 1 species
GUGGAACAUCAUGCAUUUCAAGAUUGUGCAUCAGACGAAGUAAAUCACAAGCAAGAAGGAAAGAUUGAUUCUAAUCGCUCUGCAUCAGAAAAAAAUAUUUUAGGAGAUAGAGACAACUCUAUACCCUCCAAGGUUGUAGUUUCCAAUGGUACUAGCAACAUGGAAUCAGAACAGGUAAUAUCUGGGGAUUGUGUUGCAUCAGAAAAUGGGGAGCUAAAGCAAGAUAAAGAAGACACUCUGAGACAGAAGAAGUUAGAGAGGGAAGGUUCGCAACAGAAGGUGAGUGCUGAUACUAAUAAACAAAAAAGUGACAAGACAGCCUCAUCUCUAAAGAAACAAUUGUUCUCCAACACUAAACCUGCCACUGAUGGCGUAGGUCCGAAAAAUAAAUCUAAACAGCAGGAAAUCCAAGGCACUGUUUUACGACCGGCAAAGCCUAAUGCAGUGUCCCGGUGGAUCCCUCCCAACAAAGGUUCUUACACUAGUUCAAUGCAUGUAUCGUAUCCACCAUCAAGGUAUAACAGUGCUCCUCCUGUGCUUGCUCUCACCAAGGAUUUUCAAUCUGGGGUUAAAUCAAAGUCACCAUCUCCUCAAGCUUCUUCAGAAGCUAUAGCUUCUGCUGAAGCAGGUCGUGUUUCAGGGAAAGACUCUUCAUGUUCUGCAUCGGGUAUGUCAAUGGUUGAGGGAUCUGUUGCUACAAUGUCUGCCCCAGAAUCAGUUGAAAGCCACGCCCUUCAGCUUCAUCCAUCUCCUCCGAGUCCGCUUCUUUCGCCAUCUCCAAUCACUUCAUCUCAUGAAACUUCUGAUACUGAGGUAGCAGGAACUAAUUCACCAUCAGCGACUUCAGCUUUGUCUUCACAGGGGAGCAAUAUUACGACAUUUUCUUUGACUCAGACGAACCCUUAUUCUUCACCUGCUCUGGCCGCACCUUCCCAGCCACCUUUGUGCAGGCCAUCCCUGUCACUUUCAAGUAACAUCCGGUCAUUUUCACCUCCUCCACCUCCCCCACCCCCUCCGCCUCCACCAUUAACUAGCUCGAGGAUGACUUCACUGGGUGCCUUUUCUCCUCCCCCACCACCACCACCUCCACCUCUGCCCUCAUCAUCCAGUGUAAUAAAUGUUGGUAGGGUCCCUCCACCACCCCUUUGGAUGGGGUAUGGGACUACCUCAGAAGUAGUAUCUAGUUCAUCACCACCUCCACCUCCACCUCCACCUCCUCCACCACCUCCUCCUCCUACACCUCCUACUCUUUCCCCACGAAUCCUACAUACCUCGCAAGUUGCUCCACCUCCACCGCCCCCACCACCACCACCUCCUUCAACCUACGUUCCCCCUCCUUUAUACAACACUCAAUCUGCACCAUCUCCACCACCUCCCCCUCCUUUUUCUAGAGCGCCAACUCCACCACCUCCCCCUCCCCCUCCUUUUUCUAGAGCGCCAACUCCGCCACCUCCCCCUCCCCCUCCUUUUUCUAGAGCGCCAACUCCGCCACCUCCCCCUCCCCCUCCUUUUUCUAGAGCGCCAACUCCGCCAC